rnacentral:rRNA from 1 species
UACGUAGGGUGCAAGCGUUUGUCCGGAAUUAUUGGGCGUAAAGAGCUCGUAGGCGGUUUGUCGCGUCGAAUGUGAAAACCCGGGGCUCAACCCCGGGCCUGCAUUCGAUACGGGCAGACUAGAGUUCGGUAGGGGAGUCUGGAAUUCCUGGUGUAGCGGUGAAAUGCGCAGAUAUCAGGAGGAACACCGGUGGCGAAGGCGGGACUCUGGGCCGAUACUGACGCUGAGGAGCGAAAGCCAGGGGAGCAAACGGG